AAUUAUGUGGCAAUGGACAGGUGCUCUCAGGUGUCCUUGCAUGAAUAGACAGGCAGCAGACCAGCCUGAGAAAGGUGGAGAAGCCCAUUGCAAGAUCAUCAUCUUCCACUGAUGUGCACCAUCAGACACUGCAGGUUCUACCUGGAAUCCUGAAAAUUCAUUUCACAUUAUGAGACUACUAUACCUUCUCUUUCUCUUCCUUGUGUGUCUUAUCCAGACAACAUCAGGGCAGGAAAAAAAGAAGAAAUACCUCCAGUGUCCAAAAAUGGGUGGUGUCUGCAAGCAUCAAAAAACCCACGGGUGCUCCAUCCUGCCUGCAGAAUGCAAAGCUCGGAGGAAACACUGCUGCAGAGUCUAGUUUCAGCUCCUGAGUGACUCCAGAGCAGCAUGUGACAGUAACCACCAUUGAUUUCUACUUAAUUAAAUCACUACCACUCACA